UUGGAUGUUGGCUUAGUUCUGUGUGGAAGACUAGUGAUUUUGUUGUUUUUAGAUAACUAAAUUGACAACAAAUCACAGUCUGCCAUAUGGCACAGGUCACCUCUACAG
rnacentral:pre_miRNA from 1 species